rnacentral:lncRNA from 1 species
CUUGUAUCCUAUUACUAGAGAGUGUAGGCUUAUAACAUGUUUGUCAAUACCUAAUUUGUUAAAUAUAUCUCUCAUUGAUCUCCAGAAGUUUGUGUUAUAUGCGCAUGUGAUAAAAAAAAUGUUUGUAGUUGUCUUGUUCAUUGCAAUAAGAACAAAGGCUGUUUUCAGAAAUUUUCCAUUGAAAUAACAGCUCUUUAUUUGCCA